UCCCUCCAUCACGAACAAGAGGAUUGUGGGAUGUGUCUGUGAGGAAGACAACACAGCCGUGGUGUGGUUCUGGCUCCAGGAGGGCGAGGCCCAGCGCUGCCCGUCCUGUGGUUCCCACUACAAACUGGUGGCCCACGAGCUCCCCCACUAACUUCUGAUAGAACUGUGUUCCACAGCUGUUUGUCUGCCCAGUGUUCUCUUCUGUCAGAUAUUCCUCCAUCAGAACGAGGAGAAGAAACAUCUUCAGUCUGCAGUAGGUUACUUUGGUUCUGUCUACUUCCUGGAGCCGUGAGUCCUCGUCUGAUUGGUCCUCGUUCUGUCCCAGUACUUGAUGGACCUGCUGACCUCAUCAGUCUUUGCUUUACAUGUUAUCAGUUACACAGGGACCACAUGUGGUUUCUUUGAACCAUUUCCAUUCAGUUUACUUUGACUCCUGUCCUGUACGACACACUCGGUCCUCUUACCUCCUU